AAUCAACGCUGGCGGCGUGCCUAACACAUGCAAGUCGAACGCGAAAGCCCCUUCGGGGGGUAAGUAGAGUGGCGUCCGGGUGAGUAACACGUGGGUAAUCUACCUUCGGGUGGGGAAUAACUCAGGGAAACUUGAGCUAAUACCGCAUAAUGCAGCGGCACCUAAUGGUGAUUAGUUGUUAAAGCGGGGGAUCGCAAGACCUCGCGCCUGAAGAGGAGCCUGCGGCAGAUUAGCUAGNGGUGAGGUAAUGGCUCACCAAGGCUUCGAUCUGUAGCUGGUCUGAGAGGACGGCCAGCCACACUGGCACUGACACACGGGCCAGACUCCUACGGGAGGCAGCAGUGGGGAAUUUUGGGCAAUGGGCGAAAGCCUGACCCAGCAACGCCGCGUGAGGGGAGGAAAUCCGUUCGGGAUGUAAACCUCACAAGCAAGGGAAGA
rnacentral:rRNA from 1 species